rnacentral:rRNA from 1 species
AAAUUGAAGAGUUUGAUCAUGGCUCAGAUUGAACGCUGGCGGCAGGCCUAACACAUGCAAGUCGAACGGUAACAGGAAGCAGCUUGCUGCUUUGCUGACGAGUGGCGGACGGGUGAGUAAUGUCUGGGAAACUGCCUGAUGGAGGGGGAUAACUACUGGAAACGGUGGCUAAUACCGCAUAACGUCGCAAGACCAAAGAGGGGGACCUUCGGGCCUCUUGCCAUCAGAUGUGCCCAGAUGGGAUUAGCUAGUUGGUGAGGUAACGGCUCACCAAGGCGACGAUCCCUAGCUGGUCUGAGAGGAUGACCAGCCACACUGGAACUGAGACACGGUCCAGACUCCUACGGGAGGCAGCAGUGGGGAAUAUUGCACAAUGGGCGCAAGCCUGAUGCAGCCAUGCCGCGUGUAUGAAGAAGGCCUUAGGGUUGUAAAGUACUUUCAGCGGGGAGGAAGGUGUU